GGUUUUCAUUUUCUUCGGUAGUUAACUGCAGCCGGGUUCUAGAAAACUUCGGCAGUUAACUGCCGAGGGACAU
rnacentral:pre_miRNA from 1 species